GAGAAAUAGGGACCCAAUUAGACCCACCACAAUUGCCAGGGAGUACAGGAAUGAGGGAGAAAUCAGGCCCCCCACCACAAUUAGACCCACCACCCAAACAUUAGAUAGAACUAGGGAUCGACCGAUUACCCUUUUUUUUUUUUUUUUUUUUUUAAAUCCGACGGCCGAUAAGAGAUCAAUUUAAAACUGGGUUAUUUUGGCUGUGAUGCAGCUGAGCCUCACUGUCUGCUGCGCCUACUCUGUCUCCAGCAUUGUCCCACCCACAGCACCAUCUGAUUUGUUACAGGCAGAGCCGGUAACAGCCAAUCAGCAGUGAAAGCUGUGCAUGCACAGUGCUCACACACACAGCCGAGAGGAGAAAAAUUUUAGCCACCACAUAAAACUGGACUCAUAGCCUGACGUUGUCCCUGGGGGUUUGGUUCCGAAGGUGUUCCUGUGGCAGUUGUGAACAAGUGCCUACAGAGCCCGAGAAUAUCUGCUGUAUGGAAAUACCCCAGGUUACACGAAGACUAAGUUACAGCAGCUUCCUGUGCAACCAUCAUGCAUGCUGGACCAUCCUGGCCUAGAGGCUGUCUGCCUGAAUGUGUUUUCACUGAAGAAUUUAUCGGGCAGACUACGGACCUUUACGUCUGAGAAUAGUGUAGUAAUUUUUUUAGUCCCAUAAAUAUUAUUAAUUUAUUGCAAAAGUGUUAUGAAGUACAUAGCUGCUU